rnacentral:rRNA from 1 species
UACAGAGGUCCCAAGCGUUGUUCGGAUUCACUGGGCGUAAAGGGUGCGUAGGUGGCCGGGUAAGUCUGAUGUGAAAUCUCCGAGCUCAACUCGGAAAUGGCAUUGGAAACUAUCCGGCUCGAGGAGUGGAGGGGGGACUGGAAUACUUGGUGUAGCAGUGAAAUGCGUAGAUAUCAAGUGGAACGCCAGUGGCGAAGGCGAGUCCCUGGACACUUCCUGACACUGAGGCACGAAAGCUAGGGGAGCAAACAGG